rnacentral:ncRNA from 1 species
AACACUGAACACGGGUGCUCUCGUGUGGGGUAGGUUACGUGCCCGGCUUGUGCCGUCUUCUGACUUGCUCCCUCCAGGAGGGCUGAGAUGUGUCGCAAGCGCGCACAAACCGUUGAACCUGAUCCGGGUAAUUCCGGCGAGAGGAAGAAUUAAGCAUGACUAGU